rnacentral:lncRNA from 1 species
UCGGAUCUCAAUACAUGCUCUCCCAUAUCUACAGUCCUGCUGAGGUAAGACACUUUGUACGGUAAAAUCAUGUACCUUUGUCAACCUUUUAUUACAGGUGUUUAGACAUUGGGAACAUUAUGCUCUUAUUUUACAAUUAGAGUGAGGCGGUGGAAGUAACUUAAGUAAAAAUAAACAGAAAAAGAAAAAAGAAAACAACAAACAUCAAACCAGUCAAUCUGAGAACUGAAUUUGAUAAGGCACGUGGGUUUGAAACAAAGGACGCGGAGGAGUUAUGAGGCGAGGGAGGGCAGCAGCAUUGCCGGAGUAACUGCAGGUUUCGGUGACGGGCCUGUCGGAGCAGCUGGAAGCCAACACGGAAGAUGCGUUCUCCGAGGGCAGCGUGCGGAGUUGUGCACAAGUCCUCUUUGGGGCGUUGAAUCCAUCCACGCUGAUGUAGUCCACGAUUUGCCGCAAACUUAGAAGCUACAGACUCCUUCCAGUCGAACACAAAUGCUAGAGAUAUUCUUUGUGUCAUCAUCAGGUGCCGGAGCAGAGCUACAAGGGGAUAACGGGUUCAACAGAAUUGGACUGUGACUCAGCCGUCGGUUUAGCUGCGGCGACCGGCAGCAGAGUCGGCCCCCGUGCGCCUGUCGACAGGCGUGGGUGCUGCUGAGGCCCCGAGCACUGGGGAAGAUGAGAACCAGGUACAGACUGGGAUAUGGCAGGACUCCAGUUGAGGCUGUGGCUGAGUCGUUUGACUUGGGAGCCUGAUGCCACCCCUGAGUGAUGUCCAAUGGAACAAGCGCCAUGAUGUUGGAUUGCUUUCCUGGCUUGCUUCGGGAGCACAAUCAUCAGGCUUUGGGGCUGGUCACCAACUGUGAUCGCUUGUCGAGAGUGUAGAGAAGCAGAGAUUAUGAUCAGGGCAAGGAGCAGUGAUGAGGAGGAUUAUGCUACGUCGUGGAAGAGAGAAAGGGCUCCAGAGCAGAAGAAGAAGAAGAAGAAGACGCCUGUUGAUAAGUUUGAAUGCCACGUCGGAAGGGGCGCGGGGUUGGUUGAGGAGGAUUGGUGGUGUUAGUGAGCAUUUCCUCACUCUCACUUUUGCCUCCCUCAUUGCAUUCACACUUGUUGAAUGUUGCUACAUUUUGUCCUACAUCAUCUAAUUGUUCGCUGAGUUUCUUUCUUCUCUUGACAGGUUAACACAUUUCAUCAAAGUUUGUUAACACAUUUGAGGAAAAUAUACGUGAACCAGUUGUUAGCGACAUUUUUCAUAGAUGAAAAAAUCCACGAUAACACACAUGUCUUUUAUGAUUUUAGAAAGACAUUACAUGUAUUAUCUCUCUCUCUCUCUCUCUCUCUCUCUCUCUCUAUAUAUAUAUAUAUAUAUAUAUGUAUAUAUAUAUAUAUAUAUAUGAGUUUUUAUUCUUAUUCAUAGAUUCUACUUGCACAUCUUAUUACAUGUGUCUUUGUCAUUUAUUUUUAGAAUAACAAAUAAUAAAUUUGGC